GAUAUGGUAUCCGGGAAUCUCGGUGGUCGGUGCGUCGAUGUCGCGAAAACGUGCCAGCAUUCUAACGCGCCACUUCGCUGUUGAUUGUUUACGCGCGACUUCGCCGAGUUGUGCGCGCACCUGUGUGCCGAUCGUGGGAUACAAGGGAAUUCCGUGAAACGUUCGUGUGUGUGUGUGUGCUCUCUGGUGAACGCGGGGGAGUCACGGCGCGAGUUUCUUCACGGUUCUCGUCGGAGAGCUCGAAGCGAGCUCGGUGCGCCGAUUUUACGUGCCGUAUGAAUUUUUACGUUCUCUGGAAGCUGCGCGGUUUUCUUUGUCUUUCGUGUAAAAGUCCACGCUUUACGUUCUCGAAUCGAUUCGGAGAGGUCUUGCACAAUGUUGCGUCGCGGAUCAAUCGCCGAAAUAAAGUCUAUGGAACAUUUAUACUGUUGGGAUUAUGGAAUGAAAAAUGAA